rnacentral:rRNA from 1 species
UACGGAGGGCGCAAGCGUUAUCCGGAAUCACUGGGUUUAACGGGUGCGUAGGCGGCUUAAUAAGUCAGAGGUGAAAGGCUGUGGCUCAACCAUGGGAUUGCCUUUGAUACUGUUAGGCUUGAAUCAGGCUGAGGUUGGCAGAAUGUGGCAUGUAGCGGUGAAAUGCAUAGAUAUGCCAUAGAAUACCGAUUGCGAAGGCAGCUGACGGGCCCUUGACUGACGUUGAGGCAAGAAAGCGUGGGGAGCGAACAGG